CAAAACAUAACUUAUUAGUAAAGAAUUUCAUUUACACAGAAAAUUGUUCUGUGUGAGUCAGGAUGUUUUGA
rnacentral:tRNA from 1 species